UACGUAGGGUGCGAGCGUUGUCCGGAAUUAUUGGGCGUAAAGAGCUUGUAGGCGGUUUGUCGCGUCUGCUGUGAAAUCUCAAGGCUCAACCUUGAGCUUGCAGUGGGUACGGGCAGACUAGAGUGUGGUAGGGGAGACUGGAAUUCCUGGUGUAGCGGUGAAAUGCGCAGAUAUCAGGAGGAACACCGAGUGGCGAAGGCAGGGUCUCU
rnacentral:rRNA from 1 species